rnacentral:rRNA from 1 species
AGGUUAUUUUUUUUUUUUUUUUUUUGGUUUAUCAAAGUUUUUUUUUGUUUUUUAAUUAUUUAUAUUAAAUUUUUUUUUUAUAGUUUAUUUUACAGUUAUGGAUUUUUUUUAUAUAUAUUAAAGUAUAAUUUUUUUUAGUACCUUUUGUAUCAGGGUUAAUUAAAAUUUUUGAUUUAUUUUUUUUUCCCGAAUUAUUAAUAUUUAAUUAUUAUUGGAUUUUAAUGUUUCAUAAUUAUUUUUAAAUUAUAGUUAGUUUUGAUAUGAAAUUCAAUUAAUAUUAUUUCUGGUUUUCUAAGUUAUUAAUUUAAUUAAGGAUUUUUUUUUGUUUAAAUAUUUUUUUUUUUCAUUUGAAUUUCAAAUUUUGAGGGGGAUAAGCUCUUUAUAAAUUAUAUAAUUUUUUUUCUGUUAGAUUAUCUUAGUAUGAUUAGAAUCUUUUAUCUUUUAAGUUCGUUGUAGAUUUGAUAGUUUGGUCUUUAUUUUUAUUUAUUUUAUUAUUAGAAUUUUUUAUUUAAUUUUUUUUAAUAAAAUAAUGAUUAAAUUAGUAAAUUCAAAUUUUUUCUUUAUGAACUAGGCAAUUUAUUUUCUCGCUUGUUUAACAAAAACAUGGUUUUUUGAAAUAUAUUUAAGGUCGGCCCUGCUCAAUGAAUUUAGUUUAAAUAGCCGCGGUAAUUUAACUGUGCAAAGGUAGCAUAAUAAUUAGUCUUUUAAUUGAGGUCUGGAAUGAAGGGGUUGACGAGGAAAAUACUUUAUUGAGAUGAUUUUUUUUAAUUUAAUUUUUAAGUUAAAAAGCUUAACUAUUUAAUUGGGACGAUAAGACCCUAUAGAUCUUUAUUUUUUUUUUUUUUUAUGUACUUUUGUUGUUUAUAUUUUUAAUUGAAUUAAAAAAUUUUGUUGGGGUGGUAAAUAAAAUUUUUAACUUUAUUUUUUUUUUACAUUGAUUUUUGUAAAUGUCGAUCCUUAUUUUUGGAUUUUAAGAUUAAGAUACCUUAGGGAUAACAGCGUAAUAUGCUUGGAGAGUUCAAAUUGAUAAGUAUGUUUGCGACCUCGAUGUUGGAUUAAAAUUAAUUGUGGGGUAGGUUUUACAAUGAUAGGUCUGUUCGACCUUUAAAAUUUUACAUGAUCUGAGUUCAAAUCGGCGUGAGCCAGAUUGGUUUCUAUCUAUUUAUUUUUAAACUUAAUUAGUACGAAAGGACUUUUAUGGUUGUAAUAUUUA